CAGAAAUCUACCUCUCCGAAACCUGUUUCUUCUAAUUAUUCCCUCUGGGACCAAGCUGAAGAAGCCCAAUUCCUCCAGUUUUCAUAUAAAAAACCUUCAAUAUUUGAAGACAGUGAACAUGUUCCCUGUAAACUCUUUUCUUCUCUGGUUUAAACAUUACCAGUUCUUCAACUGAUCAGGUCACCUCCAGCUUGUCAAAGCUCUUCCUACUAGAUAGCUCCUCAAACUGGACUCAGUUCUUCCUCUGUGAUCUGACAAGGCUGGAGGACGACAGACCCAUUACCUCCUUUAUCCUUAAUGUCUAGAUGUCUACUGGAGAAGGAAGACGAAGAAUCAUUGGUCCUGGCUAGCAUACAGCAGAAGUCAUAGCAAUCAAUUAAGAGACCCAUUAAUGUUACACUACAAGCAAAAAUAACUAGAUAAGUAGAGCUGGCAGCUGGUCACGUCACAUGCCUUGAGAGGAUCAAACCACUCUCACAUAUCUUAAUUACUGCCCUGCCUCAGUACCUAGAUUUUCCACCAUGGUGAGAGGUAGCUAAGAACAAUGGGAUCAGUGGACUUAAAAACAAAAGACACAGAUGUGAUUGAGUCCUGGCUCAGAUGCACAAUCUAUGUAACUUAAUAUCUUUCCAAGGCACAGAU